rnacentral:rRNA from 1 species
CAGCCGCCGCGGUAAUACAAAGGGUGCAAGCGUUAAUCGGAAUUACUGGGCGUAAAGCGUGCGUAGGCGGUGAGUUAAGUCUGCUGUGAAAUCCCCGGGCUCAACCUGGGAAUGGCAGUGGAUACUGGCUCGCUAGAGUGUGUCAGAGGAUGGUGGAAUUCCCGGUGUAGCGGUGAAAUGCGUAGAGAUCGGGAGGAACAUCAGUGGCGAAGGCGGCCAUCUGGGACAACACUGACGCUGAGGCACGAAAGCGUGGGGAGCAAACAGGAUUAGAUACCCCUGUAGUCCCUGUCUCUUAUAA